rnacentral:rRNA from 1 species
AGCGAACGCUGGCGGCAGGCCUAACACAUGCAAGUCGAACGGAUCCUUCGGGAUUAGUGGCGGACGGGUGAGUAACACGUGGGAACGUGCCCUUUGGUUCGGAACAACUCAGGGAAACUUGAGCUAAUACCGGAUGUGCCCUUCGGGGGAAAGAUUUAUCGCCAUUGGAGCGGCCCGCGUCUGAUUAGCUAGUUGGUGAGGUAACGGCCCACCAAGGCGACGAUCAGUAGCUGGUCUGAGAGGAUGAUCAGCCACACUGGGACUGAGACACGGCCCAGACUCCUACGGGAGGCUGCAGUGGGGAAUCUUGCGCAAUGGGCGAAAGCCUGACGCAGCCAUGCCGCGUGAAUGAUGAAGGUCUUAGGAUUGUAAAAUUCUUUCAGCGGGGACGAUAAUGACGGUACCCGCAGAAGAAGCGCCGGCUAACUUCGUG